AGUGAACGCUGGCGGUAUGCCUAAUACAUGCAAGUCGAACGGCAACACAGUAAGAUUGUGCCCUUACGGGUAGCGAGGGGCGGACGAGUGAGGCGUACAUCACAAUCUACUUUGUCGGGGGGGAUAACGUAGGAAAAGUGACGCUAAUAGCGCAUACGUCCUACGGGUUGAAGCAGUAGAGCUUCGCACCUUUGGCGACUGAAUUAGCCGAUGCCGGAUUAGCUAGUUGGCGAGGUAAAGGCCCACCAAGGCAACGAUGCGUAGCGGGUCUGAGAGGAUGAUCAGCCACACUGGAACUGAGACACGGUCCAGACUCCUACGGGAGGCAGCAGUGGGGAAUCUUCCACAAUGGGCGAAAGCCUGAUGGAGCAACGCCGCGUGAGUGAAGAAGGCCUUCGGAUCGUAAAACCCUUUUAUUAGGGAAGAACAGAAGUAGAUUAAUCUACGGCUGUUUUGACGGUACCCAAAGAGUAAGCCACGGCUAACUACGUG
rnacentral:rRNA from 1 species